rnacentral:rRNA from 1 species
AGUCGAGGGGCAGCAUGAAUAUUGGCUUGCCAAUAUUUGAUGGCGACCGGCGCACGGGUGAGUAACACGUAUCCAACCUUCCGGUUACUCGGGGAUAGGCUUUCGAAAGAAAGAUUAAUACCCGAUGUUGUGUAUCUUUCUCCUGAAAGAUACGCCAAAGGAUUCCGGUAACCGAUGGGGAUGCGUUCCAUUAGGCAGUUGGCGGGGUAACGGCCCACCAAACCUUCGAUGGAUAGGGGUUCUGAGAGGAAGGUCCCCCACAUUGGAACUGAGACACGGUCCAAACUCCUACGGGAGGCAGCAGUGAGGAAUAUUGGUCAAUGGACGGAAGUCUGAACCAGCCAAGUAGCGUGAAGGAUGACUGCCCUCUGGGUUGUAAACUUCUUUUAUACGGGAAUAACAUGAGGUACGCGUACCUUAUUGCAUGUACCGUUAUGAAUAAGCAUCGGCUAACUCCGUGCCAGCAGCCGCGGUAAUACGGAGGAUGCGAGCGUUAUCCGGAUUUAUUGGGUUUAAAGGGAGCGUAGGUGGGAUAUUAAGUCAGCUGUGAAAGUUUGGGGCUCAACCUUAAAAUUGCAGUUGAUACUGGUUUCCUUGAGUACGGUACAGGUGGGCGGAAUUCGUGGUGUAGCGGUGAAAUGCUUAGAUAUCACGAAGAACUCCGAUCGCGAAGGCAGCUCACCGGGCCGGAACUGACACUGAUGCUCGAAAGUGCGGGUAUCAAACAGGAUUAGAUACCCUGGUAGUCCGCACAGUAAACGAUGAAUACUCGCUGUUUGCGAUACACAGUAAGCGGCCAAGCGAAAGCGUUAAGUAUUCCACCUGGGGAGUACGCCGGCAACGGUGAAACUCAAAGGAAUUGACGGGGGCCCCGCACAAGCGGAGGAACAUGUGGUUUAAUUCGAUGAUACGCGAGGAACCUUACCCGGGCUUAAAUUGCGCUGGCUUUUACCGGAAACGGUAUUUUCUUCGGACCAGCGUGAAGGUGCUGCAUGGUUGUCGUCAGCUCGUGCCGUGAGGUGUCGGCUUAAGUGCCAUAACGAGCGCAACCCUUAUCUUUAGUUACUAACAGUUUUGCUGAGGACUCUAAAGAGACUGCCGUCGUAAGAUGCGAGGAAGGUGGGGAUGACGUCAAAUCAGCACGGCCCUUACGUCCGGGGCUACACACGUGUUACAAUGGGGAGCACAGCAGGUUGCUACACGGCGACGUGAUGCCAAUCCGUAAAACUCCUCUCAGUUCGGAUCGAAGUCUGCAACCCGACUUCGUGAAGCUGGAUUCGCUAGUAAUCGCGCAUCAGCCACGGCGCGGUGAAUACGUUCCCGGGCCUUGUACACACCGCCCGUCAAGCCAUGAAAGCCGGGGGUACCUGAAGUACGAACCGCGAGGAUCUCCUAGG